AUGGUUUUGGAGGACGAAAGCAGCGACGACCAGUCUAGCCUCCCGUACAUGCAUUCUUCCUCCACAGACGGUCUCAACGAGCUCCCUUUUAGCCUUGAAGAUCCAGAUUACAAGGGGCUUGAGCUGGAUGUGAUGUCUCCAUAAUGCAUUGUUGAAGCUAUGGGAAUGGUUGAAGAUACCAAAACUGCUAGGGUGAAUGACAAUCUUGAAAGUUCUUUCACUAUCCACCAUCUGACAGAAGAGAAGAACAAGCUGGAGGCCAACUAUGACAAGCUAGUCCAAGAUGUGCAUGAGCUGAUGAACUUCCAGGAAGAUAAGGUGGUGGAUUUUAGACAUCUGCAGUCUGCCAUUACAUAUCAGCAGGAGGUAAGAAAAGAACUGAUUGAUGAUAUGAAGGCACAGAUGGCAAGUGAGAUGGCAAAGAAAGAUGCAGAGACCCAGAAACUUACUCAGAAGUAUGAGAUGCUGCUCAACCUGACAAGAGCUCAACCAACAGUCAUUCAGAACUUGAAGUUGAACAAAAUGAGAGAGAAGCAAGUGUUUACUGAAGCUAGUAUGAAUUUGGAGCUGAAGAAUGCAGAGCUAACAAAGUGUCAGGAGAAGCUCACCCAAGAGAAGCUAGAGUUGAAGCUUCAGGUUGCUGAUCUGCUUAAGGGAAAUGAAAAUCAUAUUGAAGAGAAGUGGCAGUUAGAGUUUCAGAACGAAAAGUUGAAGGAGAAGUUCAGGGGGAUUCAGGCCAUCUUGGAGAAGUGA
rnacentral:rRNA from 1 species